CACAAUGGGGGAAACCCUGAUGCAGCCAUGCCGCGUGUGUGAAGAAGGGCCUUCGGGGUGUAAAAGGCACUUUCAGUAGGGAGGAAGGUAGUGUAGUUAACACCUGCAUUAUUUGACGUUACCUACAGAAGAAGCACCGGCUAACUCCGUGCCAGCAGCCGCGGUAAUACGGAGGGUGCGAGCGUUAAUCGGAAUUACUGGGCGUAAAGCGCAUGCAGGCGGCCUGUUAAGUCAGAUGUGAAAGCCCGGGGCUUAACCUCGGAAUUGCAUUUGAAACUGGCAGGCUAGAGUCUUGUAGAGGGGGGUAGGAAUUUCAGGUGUAGCGGUGAAAUGCGUAGAGAUCUGAAGGAAUACCAGUGGCGAAGGCGGCCCCCUGGACAAAGACUGACGCUCAGAUGCGAAAGCGUGGGGAGCAAACAGGAUUAGAUACCCUGGUAG
rnacentral:rRNA from 1 species